rnacentral:rRNA from 1 species
CUACCUAGUAGUACGGAAUAGCCAUUAGAAAUGGUGGGUAAUACUGUAUAAUCACCGAGGGGGAAAGAUUUAUCGCUAUUAGAUGAGCCUACGUUAGAUUAGCUAGUUGGUGAGGUAAUGGCUUACCAAGGCUAUGAUCUAUAGCUGGUCUGAGAGGACGAUCAGCCACACUGGAACUGAGAUGCGGUCCAGACUCCUACGGGAGGCAGCAGUGGGGAAUAUUGGACAAUGGGCGAAAGCCUGAUCCAGCUAUGCCGCGUGAGUGAGGAAGGCCUUCGGGUUGUAAAACUCUUUCAAUAGGGAAGAUAAU